UAGGCUAACUGAAAUAUUUUAAUGGCAUGUCAAUGUGAAUCCAGUUUACAGAGGCUGAGAUGGACUCUUGCUUUGUUUUAUGGUUAAUAAAAUGAUGCAGAAGAGACACAGGGUCAGAUGUCAGGCUAGUGUCAAUUCUGGUGACAGAAGACAAAGGGCAAAGUUAUUUGAAAGAAGUUAUGCUUCUAGGAGAAGCAAUUCAAUUGUAUUUAGUUGUACUAGGUUUUUAGGCACUGAGGUCAUGGAUGCUGGAGCUCAGCUGUACCAUGUUGGAUAUUCACCCAGGGGAGAUUUUGACAGACACAACCAUCACAAGGCAGAGGUUUCAAACUAUUUCAGUUCUGCUGGACCACUGCAUCUUUUAUCUUCUAUGGGUGGGUCACCACAAAGUGAACCUUCAAGUUGCAGGCGCAUUUAUAGUACAAUUAACUGAAACCCCAGACAGGUGAUCUCCAUUGAGCUAGUUGUGUGACUUGUAAAACUAACUGGCUGCACCAGUGAUCAGAUCCAGAGGCACCCAGCUCAGAGGAGACAUAGUCCAAUUUUUGCCGUGCUCUGUUAGCCCAGCCUCUUCUAGGUGAAUGUACUAUACAUAUAUUCUGCCCACACAGAAACAGUGGCAUCAGUUGAU